rnacentral:misc_RNA from 1 species
AAAUAAAAGAUCUUAUGAUGGUUUUUCCAAAUAGUCAUGGAAAUAUUAUGAUCUUAUAUAUAUGUGAAUUAAUUACCCAAGUCAAAGCAUAAACCCAGGAAUGAAUCCAUUGAGAUCAUGUGUGUGGGAAACAUUAUCCUCCUCUGCACCCUCAGGAUUGUAUCCAAUUUGCAGAGUGGAAUUUCCUCCCUUGGGCUGGAAGAACCCAUCUGAAUGAGCUGGUAGGCGGCUAUAUGGAAUCGUAUGUCCUCCACCUUCCCAUGCUAGUCGAAGGGGAACUUGCCCACUACCUUCUUCCAACUUCCUUUUCAAGGCUUUGUUGGUUUCAAUUAGCAAACGUUCCUUGUUUUGAAGAUCAGCAAGUUGAUCAAGCAUGAAUUGAGUCAUUGUUAACCUGAUUUGCUUGAGGGAUGUUUCCAACUGAAGCUCAAGCUGCUCAAGCUCCUUGG